CGUAUACACACGGAUAAAACACGGAGAAAAUCUUUACGAGAGAUGGUUGGUGUUUGGGAGGCAAGAACGGCCGGCGGCGGGGCGGCCAUUACGCGGAUGGGAGCACCUUCUUGACGAUCUCGUCGCUGAGGGAGGCGAUCUGGGCGUCGAGCGCCUUGACGGCCUCCUCCUUCUGCGCCUCGAGGUUGGCGAGCGCCUCCACGAGCUCGGCCUCGACGCGGCGGCGCCCCUCGUCCAGCUUCGCCUCCAGCUCCUGGGUGGUCUCCUUCUUCAUCUUGUUGAGCGCCGCGGCGAUCUCGGCGCGUGCCGCCUUCAGCACGGCGGCGGCCUGCUCCUCCAGCUGCCGCACCUCCUCGGACGCGUCCUUGACGCCGCCGAGCUCGGCACGGAUCUUGGCGUCGCGCUCGUCCAUGAACUUGCCCAGCGGCGUGAAGUAGAGCUUGUCCAGCGCCACCAUCAGCAGCAGGAACUCGGUCGCGAUCAGCGGGAGCGUCAGGUUGAAGUCGAACAGCGCCGCCUUCUCCAUCUGCUCCGCCAGCGCCGGUAGCGGCGCCGCGGCCACGGCCACGGCCGCCGUCGCCACGAGCCCCGGCAGCUGCUUCAAUCCCCUCCGCGGUUGCUGCUGCUGCUGCCGCCUGGGCGGCUGCACGGACGACGACGCGACGACCGGCGCGCGGCGAGGGGAGCACGAGGUGGCGGUCGCAGCCAUCAUAGCCGUCGCCAUGGGCUAGUGCAAGGAGUGCGCGGCGCGGAGGAGGUAAGCAGCAGCAGCGGCGGCGGCGGCGGCGACUCGAGGUGUGGUGAGCUGAGAGAGAGAGGAGGAAGCG
rnacentral:misc_RNA from 1 species